rnacentral:lncRNA from 1 species
UCUGUCUGUGUCACUGUGUGUGUCGUAGGUACUGUCUGGGUCACUGUGUGUGUCUUAGGUACUGUCUGGGUCACUGUGUGUGUCUAAGGUACUGUCUGGGUCACUGUGUGCGUCUUAGGUACUGUCUGUGUCACUGUGUGUGUCUUAGGUACUGUCUGUGUCACUGUGUGUGUUUCUGUAUGUGUCAUCAGAACAGUAAGAGUGUCUGUCACAGGUGCUGUCAAUAUGUAUCUGAAAGGUCUUAUCAGUUCGUCUGUAACAGGUUUCGUCAGUGCGUGUGUCAAUGGUGUAGUAUUUGAUGGAAAAAUUAUGCUUGUAAAAUAUCUGCUGUGCUUUC